CUUUUAGUGUAAGUAUGUUCCAGGCAGUAUCUGGGACAUACUUAUACUAAAA
rnacentral:pre_miRNA from 1 species